rnacentral:rRNA from 1 species
GGCAACCCUGACGGAGCAAUACCGCGUGGGGGAGGAAGGCUCUUGGGUCGUAAACCCCUUUUCUUAGGGAAGAACACAAUGACGGUACCUGAGGAAUCAGCAUCGGCUAACUCCGUGCCAGCAGCCGCGGUAAUACGGAGGAUGCAAGCGUUAUCCGGAAUCAUUGGGCGUAAAGCGUCCGUAGGUGGUGUUUCAAGUCUGCUGUUAAAGCCCGGGGCUCAACCCUGGAGGAGCAGUGGAAACUGGAGCACUAGAGUGCGGUAGGGGUAGAGGGAAUUCCCGGUGUAGCGGUGAAAUGCGUAGAUAUCGGGAAGAACACCAGUGGCGAAAGCGCUCUACUGGGCCGCAACUGACACUGAUGGACGAAAGC